CUCAAUCACAGCUCAUUGCAGCCUUGACCGCCCAGGCUCAAGUGAUCCUCCUGCCUCAGCCUCCUGAGUAGCCGAACUACAGGUAUCUAGAAGAAAUGAAAGAAAAUACAAUAUUUCAGCUCACGAACUUUCAAGAGAUCAGAUUCUGGUUGAAGAUGGCAGUUGAUCACAUGAAGUUAUCUCCUCUCCCACCUAAGACCCCACUAAAAUUAAAAGAUAACUUAUUCCACAGAGCAAAAACUGAAGAAUCCCUGAAAAAAGAUGGCCCUCAAG